CAUUGGAUGACUGAAGCAAGUAAUGAUUUCUUAAAUCAUAUUAUAGUAUAUUUAGCAAUUACUUCUAAUGG
rnacentral:tRNA from 1 species